rnacentral:rRNA from 1 species
UACACUCCUACGGGAGGCAGCAGUAGGGAAUCUUCCACAAUGGGUGCAAACCUGAUGGAGCAAUGCCGCGUGAGUGAAGAAGGUCUUCGGAUCGUAAAGCUCUGUUGUUAGAGAAGAACACGUGCUAGGUAACUACUAGCGCCUUGACGGUAUCUAACCAGAAAGUCACGGCUAACUACGUGCCAGCAGCCGCGGUAAUACGUAGGUGACAAGCGUUGUCCGGAUUUAUUGGGCGUAAAGGGAGCGCAGGCGGUCUGUUUAGUCUAAUGUGAAAGCCCACGGCUUAACCGUGGAACGGCAUUGGAAACUGACAGACUUGAAUGUAGAAGAGGAAAAUGGAAUUCCAAGUGUAGCGGUGGAAUGCGUAGAUAUUUGGAGGAACACCAGUGGCGAAGGCGAUUUUCUGGUCUAACAUUGACGCUGAGGCUCGAAAGCGUGGGGAGCGAACAGGAUUAGAAACCCGUGUAGUCCCA